rnacentral:rRNA from 1 species
UACGGGGGGGGCAAGCGUUGUUCGGAAUUACUGGGCGUAAAGGGCGCGUAGGCGGUUUGUUAAGUUGGAUGUGGAAACUGUGGGCUCAACCCACAGCCUGCAUCCAAUACUGACAGGCUAGAGUUCUGGAGGGGAUAGCGGAAUUCCUGGUGUAGCGGUGAAAUGCGUAGAUAUCAGGAGGAACACCGGUGGCGAAGGCGGCUAUCUGGACAGAGUCUGACGCUGCUGCGCGAAAGCUAGGGGAGCAAACAGG